UUAAAUUGAAGAGUUUGAUCAUGGCUCAGAUUGAACGCUGGCGGCAGGCCUAACACAUGCAAGUCGAGCGGUAGCACAGAGAGCUUGCUCUCGGGUGACGAGCGGCGGACGGGUGAGUAAUGUCUGGGAAACUGCCUGAUGGAGGGGGAUAACUACUGGAAACGGUAGCUAAUACCGCAUAAUGUCGCAAGACCAAAGUGGGGGACCUUCGGGCCUCAUGCCAUCAGAUGUGCCCAGAUGGGAUUAGCUAGUAGGUGGGGUAACGGCUCACCUAGGCGACGAUCCCUAGCUGGUCUGAGAGGAUGACCAGCCACACUGGAACUGAGACACGGUCCAGACUCCUACGGGAGGCAGCAGUGGGGAAUAUUGCACAAUGGGCGCAAGCCUGAUGCAGCCAUGCCGCGUGUGUGAAGAAGGCCUUCGGGUUGUAAAGCACUUUCAGCGGGGAGGAAGGCGGUGAGGUUAAUAACCUCAUCGAUUGACGUUACCCGCAGAAGAAGCACCGGCUAACUCCGUGCCAGCAGCCGCGGUAAUACGGAGGGUGCAAGCGUUAAUCGGAAUUACAUGGGCGUAAAGCGCACGCAGGCGGUCUGUCAAGUCUGAUGUGAAAUCCCCGGGCUCAACCUGGGAACUGCAUUCGAAACUGGCAGGCUAGAGUCUUGUAGAGGGGGGUAGAAUUCCAGGUGUAGCGGUGAAAUGCGUAGAGAUCUGGAGGAAUACCGGUGGCGAAGGCGGCCCCCUGGACAAAGACUGACGCUCAGGUGCGAAAGCGUGGGGAGCAAACAGGAUUAGAUACCCUGGUAGUCCACGCCGUAAACGAUGUCGAUUUGGAGGUUGUGCCCUUGAGGCGUGGCUUCCGGAGCUAACGCGUUAAAUCGACCGCCUGGGGAGUACGGCCGCAAGGUUAAAACUCAAAUGAAUUGACGGGGGCCCGCACAAGCGGUGGAGCAUGUGGUUUAAUUCGAUGCAACGCGAAGAACCUUACCUGGUCUUGACAUCCACAGAACUUUCCAGAGAUGGAUUGGUGCCUUCGGGAACUGUGAGACAGGUGCUGCAUGGCUGUCGUCAGCUCGUGUUGUGAAAUGUUGGGUUAAGUCCCGCAACGAGCGCAACCCUUAUCCUUUGUUGCCAGCGGUUAGGCCGGGAACUCAAAGGAGACUGCCAGUGAUAAACUGGAGGAAGGUGGGGAUGACGUCAAGUCAUCAUGGCCCUUACGACCAGGGCUACACACGUGCUACAAUGGCAUAUACAAAGAGAAGCGACCUCGCGAGAGCAAGCGGACCUCAUAAAGUAUGUCGUAGUCCGGAUUGGAGUCUGCAACUCGACUCCAUGAAGUCGGAAUCGCUAGUAAUCGUAGAUCAGAAUGCUACGGUGAAUACGUUCCCGGGCCUUGUACACACCGCCCGUCACACCAUGGGAGUGGGUUGCAAAAGAAGUAAGUAGCUUAACCUUCGGGAGGGCGCUUACCACUUUGUGAUUCAUGACUGGGGUGAAGUCGUAACAAGGUAACCG
rnacentral:rRNA from 1 species